GGCAAAGGGAAAGUGACUGCGUUCACUGUUAACACAAACAUUGUGGUUUUUGUACAAACUUUUGCGACGUUUUUGGUUCAAGAUUGCAAAGAAACAAUAUGCAGUCCGCAGUGAUGACACAGCAACCUAUACCAAUGGUGCAAUCUGUACCAGUGGUACACGAACGCACGUCUACUUCCCAAAUAAAGAACUUUGCCCAUAAAACGAUUAUCGGUUUUGGCAUCUCUCAAAUUGUAUUGGGCUCAUUGGCUAUCAUAUUCACUAUUAUGAUUCUAAAGGCCGGGUGCACUGUUAUUGCAUUUACUAGAUGGGGUUUUUUGACAGGAAUAUGUGUAACAGUGACUGGAAUAUUGGGAUGUUUAUCUGGUUAUACGAAGAAUAAAGGCACAGUGA